UGGGGAAUAUUGGACAAUGGGCGAAAGCCUGAUCCAGCCAUGCCGCGUGUGUGAAGAAGGUCUUCGGAUUGUAAAGCACUUUAAGUUGGGAGGAAGGGCAGUAAGCUAAUACCUUGCUGUUUUGACGUUACCGACAGAAUAAGCACCGGCUAACUUCGUGCCAGCAGCCGCGGUAAUACGAAGGGUGCAAGCGUUAAUCGGAAUUACUGGGCGUAAAGCGCGCGUAGGUGGUUUGAUAAGUUGGAUGUGAAAGCCCCGGGCUCAACCUGGGAAUUGCAUCCAAAACUGUCUGACUAGAGUAUGGCAGAGGGUGGUGGAAUUUCCUGUGUAGCGGUGAAAUGCGUAGAUAUAGGAAGGAACACCAGUGGCGAAGGCGACCACCUGGGGCUAAAUUACUGACACUGAGGUGCGAAAAGCGUGGGGGAGCAAACAGGAUUAGAUACCCUGGUAGUCCACGCCGUAAAACGAUGUCGACUAGCCGUUGGGGAUCCUUGAGAUCUUAGUGGCGCAGCUAACGCAUUAAGUCGACCGCCUGGGGAGUACGGCCGCAAGGUUAAAACUUAAAUGAAUUGACGGGGGUCAUAGCUGUUUCCUG
rnacentral:rRNA from 1 species